ACGAACGCUGGCGGCGUGCUUAACACAUGCAAGUCGAGCGGUAAGGCCUCUUCGGGGGUUCACGAGCGGCGAACGGGUGAGUAACACGUGGGUGACCUGCCCUCAGCUCUGGGAUAAGCCUGGGAAACUGGGUCUAAUACCGGAUAUGACCUUUCCUCGCAUGGGGUUUGGUGGAAAGUUUUUUCGGCUGGGGAUGGGCCCGCGGCCUAUCAGCUUGUUGGUGGGGUGAUGGCCUACCAAGGCGACGACGGGUAGCCGGCCUGAGAGGGCGACCGGCCACACUGGGACUGAGACACGGCCCAGACUCCUACGGGAGGCAGCAGUGGGGAAUAUUGCGCAAUGGGCGGAAGCCUGACGCAGCGACGCCGCGUGGGGGAUGACGGCCUUCGGGUUGGAAACCUCUUUCGACCCCGACGAAUUUGGACGGUAGGGGUAGAAGAAGCACCGGCCAACUACGUG
rnacentral:rRNA from 1 species